rnacentral:rRNA from 1 species
GCUUACAGCCAUCCCACACUGAGCACGCCUGAUCUCAUACGAUCUCGGAAGCUAAGCAGUGCUGGGCCUGGUUAGUACUUGGAUGGGAGACCAACUGGGAAUACCAGGUGCUGUAAGCU